UACGUAGGGUGCGAGCGUUGUCCGGAAUUAUUGGGCGUAAAGAGCUCGUAGGCGGUGUGUCACGUCGGCCGUGAAAAACCUGCAGCUUAACUGUGGGCGUGCGGUCGAUACGGGCAUUACUGGAGUUCGGCAGGGGAGACUGGAAUUCCUGGUGUAGCGGUGAAAUGCGCAGAUAUCAGGAGGAACACCGGUGGCGAAGGCGGAUCUCUGGGCCAUAACUGACGCUGAGACGCGAAAGCGUGGGGAGCAAACAGG
rnacentral:rRNA from 1 species